rnacentral:RNase_P_RNA from 1 species
GGAGUCGGCCAGGCAGUCGCCCGUCACUUACCCCUGACACACUUGGUGAAGUUGCGGAUCAAGUAGCCACCCGCACCGGACCUUCUCGGGGUAGAGCGUGUCAAGGGUAGGUGACGGGAGGAAAGUCCGGGCUCCAUAGGGCAGGGUGCCAGGUAACGCCUGGGGGACGCGAGUCUACGGAAAGUGCCACAGAAAACAUACCGCCCGGCCACUUAACUGUGAGUGGCCGGGUAAGGGUGAAAAGGUGCGGUAAGAGCGCACCGCGCCGGUGGUAACACCGGUGGCAGGGUAAACCCCACCUGGAGCAAGGCCAAAUAGGGGAAACAGGGUGUGGCCCGCACUGUUCCCGGGUAGGCCGCUUGAGGCACGCGGUGACGCGUGUCCUAGAUGAAUGACUGUCCUCCGACAGAACCCGGCUUAUCGGCCGACUCCUCCU